ACAUGCUUACAACAUAGCUUUAAUGCAUCAGAUCCCAUUAGAACUCCACAUUUAAGCGCUUUUGGGAUAGAGUAGUACUGGGAUGGGUGAUCGCCUCGGAAGUCCUAGUAUUUUACAUGCC
rnacentral:rRNA from 1 species